rnacentral:rRNA from 1 species
AUGUUGAUUCCAUGGAUUAUACGCACUCUCACCCUUCCACCAUUGCUAGCCUCUCUUGUGACGCGCAACUUUCGCCGGUACCAUACACCCACCAUAUACCUUACUCAAAACAGCCACCAUACCUACAUAUUAUGGCAUUUCCAUAGCCAUUCCGAGAUAUAUUGCCAUGCAACUUUCCACCAUUACGUUUAUUAUGACAUGCUCCACCGUUGUCAUCUUGCUUUGCAUGAUCAUGUAGUUGACAUCGUAUUUGUGGCAAAGCCACCAUUCAUAAUUCUUUCAUACAUGUCACUCUUGAUUCAUUAUCCCGGUACACCGCCAGAGGCAUCCACAUAG